rnacentral:rRNA from 1 species
GAUGAACGCUGGCGGCGUGCCUAAUACAUGCAAGUCGAGCGAAUGGAUUAAGAGCUUGCUCUUAUGAAGUUAGCGGCGGACGGGUGAGUAACACGUGGGUAACCUGCCCAUAAGACUGGGAUAACUCCGGGAAACCGGGGCUAAUACCGGAUAACAUUUUGAACCGCAUGGUUCGAAAUUGAAAGGCGGCUUCGGCUGUCACUUAUGGAUGGACCCGCGUCGCAUUAGCUAGUUGGUGAGGUAACGUCUCACCAAGGCAACGAUGCGUAGCCGACCUGAGAGGGUGAUCGGCCACACUGGGACUGAGACACGGCCCAGACUCCUACGGGAGGCAGCAGUAGGGAAUCUUCCGCAAUGGACGAAAGUCUGACGGAGCAACGCCGCGUGAGUGAUGAAGGCUUUCGGGUCGUAAAACUCUGUUGUUAGGGAAGAACAAGUGCUAGUUGAAUAAGCUGGCAUCUUGACGGUACCUAACCAGAAAGCCACGGCUAACUACGUGCCAGCCGCCGCCGUAA